UGACAUUGAAAAUGUAGUUUAAAAAACAAUGCGAUAAAUAAAGGUAGCGGACAAUUCGCAGAUAAUCUAACCACUGAUUGAGCCAGCGUCUUGUGCUUUUGAUUCUAAAAACGUGGGAGGGCUUUUGACAAAUUGCACACUCUUACAGCAUAAGGCCAAAAUAUUUCAGGCACCUCCUCGUUAUUUAUGAAUUCUCUGCAGAUAAAUCGUAGCAUUUAUUUCUCAGCAAGCCAUGGCUAAAAACCAGGCAAGAAUUUCUGAGUAGACGUGGCAGAGUGAAUCGAGUUCUCAUCUGCAGAGUGAUGGAAAUGAUGAUGAAAGUCAGGGCGGAGUUGCAGACACAUGAAGGAUUGAGGACAGAGGCCGAGAUAAAUCAUCCUCAGGGGAAAGACCUUCACUGUAGUCAAGGUGAGAGAAAGAGGCCUCGCGCUGAUCGUUUUCCGCCACUGAACAGGUUGUCACGGUGUUGAUCUCUUUCCUGACUGGAGAAGAUGAAAACUUUGCCCAAACUGUGUCUGUUCAAAAACUGCAGCCCUGCUUGCAAUUCAGUACACAUGCCUGUGUGAACAGAACGUGUAUGCAUCACAUGCUUUUACGCGACUUGUUUAUUCGUCUCAUUUGCAUCUAGAUAGGUUUGUUUGAAUGCGUCUGUCGUGCAGCUGAGUCCUGCUGUUUGCCACUGAUACCGGGACAACGUUGUCCAGCAUUGUUGUGUUGUCUCCCUCCGACACAAAUCAUCUGGCCGUUUGUCUUGGCCCAGCUUCUUUCUUAGUGUCAGAGCUUCAAAGUCUUGUGCUUUUCAAACUCUCUUCAUCCUAAGCUUUCAGCCCAGGUGCCAAGACAACAUUUUCUGCAAAUCACUGAUUCGUUGACAUCUGUACGUGUCAUAGACGACGUGGGAUAUUGACUUUUCUAUAAGCUGCCUGUAAUCACAUUCUCAUCAUGUGUUUAUGACCUGACUUUCACAUCCAGGCAAAAAGGCGCCAAAGCCAGUGACCCCAGUUCAAGGCUGUGUUUCAACAUUUUUAAGUGGGAAAACGCUAGCUAAUUUAAAUAUUGAAAAAAUUGUUUGUGGCAACAAAAGAAAAAAUAUAUUUGGGGCAGAGCCAGCGUCUUGUUAGGUCUGAAGGUCCGAAGGUCAGUGGUUCGAUUCCCCUGGUCUGCGUGUCGAAGUGUCAGCAAGACACUGAGCCUCAAACUGCUCCUGGUGGUCGGCACCUUGCACGGCAGCCAGCGCCAUCAGUAUACGAGUGUAUCUAUGAAUUACUGUAAGUCGCUUUGGGCAAAAGUGUCUGCUAACUGUCCUAGAUGUAAAUUGUAUUUUUGACAAGAAGUCUGGAGAUUUCUAGCCAUGUUUGUGGCGACCAAAACAGGUAUCUCAAGCCCAGGCAUGAUCUUUUCCUAACCCCAACCAAGUGGUUUUGGCGCAUAAACCUGACCAGAUUGUGCACAACAUUAAAGCAGAUGUUCAAACCAGAGGAAACUUAAUGUUGCAUCACAUCUGCAGUUUGCAGAAAGUACAUAACCAAUAUUCAUACUGGCAUGACUGGCAUGACUGGGUUAAAAAGGGAGUCUAAAUGAUGAAAUCAUGUGUAAACAUCAGUGUGAGUUGCAUUUCUGACACAAUAUGCACCUGUCAUGAGAAUGAAUGAUGUUCUCCUCCUCAGACAUCAGUGUGUCCACUCCCACAGAGGGCCAGCUUUCAGUCACACAUAUGACUUUGCAGAAAGAAGAUCAGGUUUUUUUUAAAAAAAAUUUUUAUUGUUGUUUUUUUUUUUGUAACAAUCUGAACUCCUUUAGUGAAUGUCAACAUGUCUAAAUUUGGAUUAUUUCGUGAGAAACAAUUACCCAGAGGAACAUAAACAUUUGCGUAUCUCGAGCCAAUUAAAUCGCGUCUGAAUAAAUUGGAGAGAUCCUUCUGGAUUGGCUGAUGGCGCAAUUAUCAAAAAAAUGAGUCAGACCGAGCAGGAAACGACACUAUUUGGGAUUAACUCUGUUUAUUUAGCCGACCUUUGACACAUGCCUGACGGGCUUUGGGAACCUGCUGGUGACUCAUUCAGUUCUCCGGUCGGUCCUGUCCCUCUGCCAGCGCCAAACUGCAGGGGCCACUUCAUUCUCGGAACCGCCGCCUCGGGACCGUAUGGAGACCAGCGUCUUGCGCGCAGCUCGAUGUCCUGGAGGAGAUCCUAAAAUAAUACAGCGCAUGGGACACUACCUCUACCUCUGUGGGGACAUAAAACAUGCGAACCCCAAGCCUGGCUGUCUCAGUCGGUGCCAACAAACUCCAACAGGGAACUCCCUCGACGUGUUGUGGAGCCGUUUUCUCCGCUGAGCGCGCACUCCUCCAGCAUCCUUGAACAUGACUUCGGGUCUGCCUGCCUCUAAAGCCCUCUACAUCGGGAUGGAGGUGGUGAUCGCCGUGUCGUCGGUCAUCGGGAACGUGAUGGUGGUCUGGGCUGUGCGUAUUAACCGCUCCCUGAGAGACACCACGUUUUGUUUCAUCGUCUCCCUGGCCUUGGCUGACAUUGCGGUCGGGGCGCUCGUCAUUCCCCUCGCCAUAACCAUCAGCAUCGGACUCCAGACGCACUUUUACAGCUGCUUGCUGGUCGCCUGCACCGUGCUCGUCCUCACUCAAAGUUCAAUCCUGGCGCUGCUGGCCAUCGCCAUCGACCGCUAUCUGAGAGUCAAGAUACCCAUGAGCUACAAGCGGGUGGUGACCCCUCGGCGAGCUGGCACAGCCGUGCUAUUGUGUUGGCUGGUGUCCAUUGUAGUGGGCCUCACGCCCAUGUUGGGUUGGAACAACCUGCAGAGUCUCCGUGACAAUGGCUCCCUGGUCACCGAUGACCUCUUGGUGACGUGUCAGUUUGAGACGGUCAUCAGCAUGGACUACAUGGUCUACUUCAACUUCUUUGGCUGGGUGCUGCCCCCUCUGCUCCUCAUGCUGGCCAUCUACGUCGAAAUUUUCUACAUGAUCCACAAGCAGCUCAACAAGAAGGUGACAGCUAGCCACACAGACCCCAGCCGUUACUUUGGCAAGGAGCUGAAGCUAGCCAAGUCGCUCGCCCUCGUUCUCUUCCUCUUCGCAGUCAGCUGGCUCCCUCUUCACAUCCUCAACUGCAUCACCCUAUUUUGCCCUACCUGCAAUAAGCCAGAGUUCCUCAUUUACAUCGCCAUUAUCCUCACCCAUGGCAACUCGGCAGUCAACCCCAUCGUUUAUGCUUUCCGCAUCAACAAAUUCCGCACUGCGUUCCGGAAAAUCUGGAAACUGUAUGUGCUCUGUCAGGAUCCUGUUGGUCGGCUUCCUCAAAGAGGGAGCCAGAGAGGACAGAGUCAUGAGAGGAGGCUGAGGCAGAACGACGAUGACGACGAUGACGUGUGACCUGUGUCGACUUACAGGAUUGCUGUGUAACUGUUGAGUUUCACUCCACUGGUUCACAGAAUGGAAAAGACUGGCUUUUCUUUUCAUGAUCAAGGGACUGCCAGUCAAAAUGGUCUUUAGUGGCAUCGAAGGAUGCCACAGGGAUGACAGAGAUGAGGGAACUCCAUUGUUAACUGACUGAUUUCCUCCAUCCAACACACUGUAAGAAGGCAGGAUGACAAAUGUGCACGGAGACAGGCUAAAUAUCCUGAAUCAGACUUUGAUUUAAAUAAGACUGAUUGUUUAUCUCUCCACUGGCUUACAAAACGAUGAUGAUGUCUAAUGGGAAAAGGGGCUUCUCAUCAGUUCAACCUGUUGAACUUGAAUCACAGGUGGAAGCAUCAAAAUCCACUCCGACAGAAAAUAGCAUCUCUUUCUCUCUCGACACGAUUCUCUGCAUCAAGGCUGAAGCUGAAGCUGAAACUAUCAGCGGUGGGCCAUUUUUUUGUGGACACGCAUCGAUCUUCUGUCAGACAGCAGGCUCAUGUGUGAAUGAACGAGCAGGUUAUGGGGAAUGCAGGAAUUCGAGGGUGAGGUGGGACCGGGCAAAAGGAAUAUUCUGUUUACAAGGGAACCAGAGGGAGAGAGUGCAGCUGAGGAACUCACCAAGAGUGGAGGUCAACAUCAAGGCCACCCUGACACUUUCCCAUCUAAUAAAGAGACCUGUUAAUGUGACCCCUUAACCUGCUGUGGCACUGAGUGUUACAACCUACACAAUAUAUAGGCAGACACAUACAUAUGUCUACAACGGGCAGUUGUACUUACUGUAUUUCCAAUGCUGCUUUUGUAAUAAGGAUUUCAUGUGAUUUUUUUUCUCACUGUGUGCUUAUGUGAAAUGCUUUUACAGCCACUAUAUGUAGAAUGUGAUAUUAUAUGUACAGUAUAUUAUGUUAUACUUCAUUCUGUGCUCUCUGGUUGAGGGUGAAGAUGUGCUCAUUGUCUAACACAAUGUCUUUUAUGUCACUACCACUAGGGGGCACAUACAUUUUAAAUUCUACAUAUAGUGGCUUUAUGUUUUCAUCUGUUUACUUUAACUGAACCAGUGUGACAAAUGAAACAUUAUGUGUGCAAUAUUCUCAGAUGUACAUUAACAAUAUCAAAAGGAAAUUCUGCAGUUUAGAUCGUGUAUGUGUAGACACUGUAUAUCAGUUUUAAGUGCUGGAUGAUCUAAGCAUUAUGUGCCGAUAUUGUAUACUGUAAUUAUGAAGGAAUAUGUGAAUACAUAUAUGUGAAUAGAUGGGGUCAAAACACAGACUCUUAAUCCUGGUUGAAUGUGUGGAUGCGGACUGUGUCGAUUGCUGUGCCGUUGGAAAAUAAACUUUUCCAUUAAACAUG